UUUGGGAUUGAGGCUUAGUUGAGUUGAGUUGAAUCAAUUAGAUAGUUCUAUUUUCGCCAUCCUAUUGAAUGCUGUUUUCCAGACUAUGGUAAUGGAGCUACAAUACUUUUUCAAAUUUGCUGCACAUUCUCUCUCAUUGAAAGCACUGAAGAAACUGCUGUGCCUCCUGGACAUGAAAAUGGCCAUCAAUUGAAUUAAUUUGUGUAUUUAGAUAAACUGAUAUUCCAUUAUCCCAAUUUCUUGUCUCUCUGUUCUUGUUUUUGAUGGACCA
rnacentral:lncRNA from 1 species